GAUGAACGCUGGCGGCGUGCUUAACACAUGCAAGUCGAACGAAGCAGAUUGAGAUCUUCGGAAGGAUAUCUGACUGAGUGGCGGACGGGUGAGUAACGCGUGGGUAACCUGCCUCAUACAGGGGGAUAACAGUUAGAAAUGACUGCUAAUACCGCAUAAGCGCACAGUACCGCAUGGUACGGUGUGAAAAACUCCGGUGGUAUGAGAUGGACCCGCGUCUGAUUAGCUAGUUGGUGGGGUAACGGCCUACCAAGGCGACGAUCAGUAGCCGACCAGAGGGGGUGACCGGCCACAUUGGGACUGAGACACGGCCCAAACUCCUACGGGAGGCAGCAGUGGGGAAUAUUGCACAAUGGGCGAAAGCCUGACGCAGCGACGCCGCGUGAGUGAAGAAGUAUUUCGGUAUGUAAAGCUCUAUCAGCAGGGAAGAAAAUGACGGUACCUGACUAAGAAGCACCGGCUAAAUACGUGCCAGCAGCCGCCGCCGUAA
rnacentral:rRNA from 1 species